rnacentral:rRNA from 1 species
AUUGAACGCUGGCGGAAUGCUUUACACAUGCAAGUCGAACGGCAGCACGGGGGCAACCCUGGUGGCGAGUGGCGAACGGGUGAGUAAUACAUCGGAACGUGCCCAGUCGUGGGGGAUAACGUAGCGAAAGCUACGCUAAUACCGCAUACGAUCUACGGAUGAAAGCGGGGGAUCGCAAGACCUCGCGCGAUUGGAGCGGCCGAUGGCAGAUUAGGUAGUUGGUGGGGUAAAGGCUCACCAAGCCGACGAUCUGUAGCUGGUCUGAGAGGACGAACAGCCACACUGGGACUGAGACACGGCCCAGACUCCUACGGGAGGCAGCAGUGGGGAAUUUUGGACAAUGGGCGCAAGCCUGAUCCAGCCAUUCCGCGUGCAGGAUGAAGGCCUUCGGGUUGUAAACUGCUUUUGUACGGAACGAAAAGGCUCUUUCUAAUACAGAGGGCUCAUGACGGUACCGUAAGAAUAAGCACCGGCUAACUACGUGCCAGCCGCCGCCGUAACAC